rnacentral:rRNA from 1 species
AUUGAACGCUGGCGGCAUGCCUUACACAUGCGAGUCGAACGGCAGCACGGGUGCUUGCUCCUGGUGGCGAGUGGCGAACGGGGGAGUAAUACAUCGGAACAUGUCCUGUAGUGGGGGAUAGCCCGGCGAAAGCCGGAUUAAUACCGCAUACGAUCCACGGAUGAAAGCGGGGGACCUGCGGGCCUCGCGCUAUAGGGUUGGCCGAUGGCUGAUUAGCUAGUUGGUGGGGUAAAGGCCUACCAAGGCGACGAUCAGUAGCUGGUCUGAGAGGACGACCAGCCACACUGGGACUGAGACACGGCCCAGACUCCUACGGGAGGCAGCAGUGGGGAAUUUUGGACAAUGGGCGAAAGCCUGAUCCAGCAAUGCCGCGUGUGUGAAGAAGGCCUUCGGGUUGUAAAGCACUUUUGUCCGGAAAGAAAUCCUUGGCUCUAAUACAGUCGGGGGAUGACGGUACCGGAAGAAUAAGCACCGGCUAACUACGUG